CCUACGGGAGGCAGCAGUGGGGAAUAAUGCACAAUGGGGGAAACCCUGAUGCAGCGACGCCGCGUGAGUGAGGAAGUAUUUCGGUAUGUAAAGCUCUAUCAGCAGGGAAGAAAAUGACGGUACCUGACUAAGAAGCCCCGGCUAACUACGUGCCAGCAGCCGCGGUAAUACGUAGGGGGCAAGCGUUAUCCGGAUUUACUGGGUGUAAAGGGAGCGUAGACGGCUAAUCAAGUCAGAAGUGAAAACCCAGGGCUCAACCUUGGGACUGCUUUUGAAACUGAGUAGCUAGAGUGGAGGAGAGGUAAGCGGAAUGCCUAGUGUAGCGGUGAAAUGCGUAGAUAUUAGGAAGAACACCAGUGGCGAAGGCGGCGUACUGGACUGUAACUGACGUUGAGGCUCGAAAGCGUGGGGAGCAAACAGGAUUAGAUACCCGGGUAGUC
rnacentral:rRNA from 1 species